rnacentral:rRNA from 1 species
AGAGUUUGAUUAUGGCUCAGGAUGAACGCUAGCUACAGGCUUAACACAUGCAAGUCGAGGGGCAGCAUGGUCUAGCAAUAGACUGAUGGCGACCGGCGCACGGGUGAGUAACACGUAUCCAACCUGCCUACCACUCGGGGAUAGCCUUUCGAAAGAAAGAUUAAUACCCGAUAGUAUGAUAAUAGGGCAUCCUAUUUUCAUUAAAGAAUUUCGGUGGUUGAUGGGGAUGCGUUCCAUUAGUUUGUUGGCGGGGUAACGGCCCACCAAGACAUCGAUGGAUAGGGGUUCUGAGAGGAAGGUCCCCCACAUUGGAACUGAGACACGGUCCAA